rnacentral:pre_miRNA from 1 species
UUAACUCGCAGCCAUAAGUUUUUGUGUCUAAUUUUUAUUAUCUAUUUUAUUUAUUUUUUAUAAUUAGUAUUUUUUUUAUUGUUAUUAGAUGAUAAAACAUGAACAUUAUUUAUAAAAAAGUUAAAUAAGACGAACAAUUAAAUUUGGACACGGAAACUCAUAGCUGUGUUUAAA